rnacentral:tRNA from 1 species
GGGCCCGUAGCUCAGUUCGGUUAGAGCGACCGGCUCAUAACCGGUCGGUCGAGCGUUCAAAUCGCUCCGGGCCCA